rnacentral:lncRNA from 1 species
GGAAAAAAAGCUUUAUUACAGUAAUCAAGAUGGUAUGAUGUUGAUUUAAGAACAGACAUAUAGAUGGAAUACAAUAAGGUCCAGAAAUAGACCUAAACAUAUAUAAGUUCAACUGAAGUGCCACUGAAAUUCAAGAAGGAAUAUAAAAUUUUUCCAACAAAUGAUUUCCUAGUUAGGACACAAAAGUAUGCUCCACUAAAGAAAAAAAAAUUGAUAAACUAGGUUACAUCAAAAUUAAACCUUCUUUUCAAAAGACACGGCUAAGAGAAAAUAAGACAAACCACAGACUGGGAAAAAAAUAUUUGCAAGAUACCUAUCUAAUGAAGGACUAUAUCCAAGCAUACAAAGAACUUUUUCAACUCAGUAAUAAGAAUAACAACAAAAGAUAACAUGGGCAAGAGGUUUGAAUAGACACUUCAAAAAAGAGAUAUAAGAAUAGAAAGUAAGCACAGGAAAAGAUGUACAUCAUUGACCAUCAUCAAACAAUGAGAUACCACCGCAUACCUACUAGAAACACCUUGUGAUGAUAAAAAUGUGGAACAACUGAAACAAUGUGUUGCAGGUGAGGCGUAAAAUGGUGCAGUUGCUAAGGGAAAGCUUGGCAGUUUCUUAAAAACUUAAACAUACCCCAGCCACAUGUCCCAGGAAUUCCAAUUCUAGGUAUUUAUUCAAGAUAAAUGAAAACACAUUAUCUAUUAAAAAAAAGAUCCACAGGUGAAUGUUUAGAGCAGCUUUAUUUGUAAUAGCCCCAAAAUGGAAACAAUCCAAACAUCCAUCAAGUGGUGAAUGGAUAAACUGUGGUACAUGCAUGAAGUGGAAUACUACGUGGCAAAAAACAAGAAUCAACUACUUACACAAAAUGGAUGAAUCUCAAAAGCAUUAUGUUUAAAAACGCAGAUGCAAAAGGAUAAACAUCAUAUUGGUCCCGUUUAUAUGACAUUCUGGAAAAGGCAAGACUACAAGGACAGAAAUCGGAUGAGUGAUUGGGAGGGGCUAGGGUUGGGGGAGACAGGACUGACUGCAAAGAGGCAGGAGGGAAACUUCUUUCAGGUGAUGAGAAUGUUCUCUCACUUGACUGUGGUUGUGGUUAUAGGACUACAUGAAUUGGCCAAAAUUCCUUUAAAAAGGGUAAACUUUACCACAGGCGAUUUAUACCUCAAUAAACCUGACUUUAAAAGGAAAAGGAAAAAAAGAAAAGCUCUUUCAAUCUAAAGCACACAUCAGGCACUGUUAAUUAUUUCCUUCUUGUUAUGCCAAAAUUAAGCCUCCCCUUCAAUUCUACAGCGUAAGUGUAAGGGCGGAGUAGUGAGAGAGAGUGGAAGCAACCUGGCAUUAAAUGGCAGAGGAAAAAUACAGUGGACAGAAAGAAGGCAAAGAGGCCAAAAUCUUUAUAAAGGAAUUUUGCCAGGGGAAAUCUAGAGGAAAGAACAUGGCAACCAUUUAAUUUUAAUUUCAAGGAAUUAAUCUUACAUUUGCACCCCAGUCCAGGAUGGCAUAAUUUUCUUUUUUAAUAGCCACACCCACAGCAUAUGGGAGUUGCCAGGCUGGGGAUUGAAUCCGAGCUACAGCUACAACCUAUGCCACAGCUGCAACAAUGCAGGAUCCUUUAACCCACUGUGCUGGGCCAGGGAUCAAACUCGCACCUCUGCAGGGACCCAAGCUGCUACAGUUGGAUUCUUAACCCACUGAGCCCCAGCAGGAACUCUUGGCAUAAUUUUCAACUACAAAAAAACUGGAGACAGCUAGCAUCCAUUAGCAAGAAGACGGCUUAACUACAUAAUAGAUACCAAAGAGUAUAAUUCUAUGCAGGGGUUAAAAGGACUGCAGUAGCACUAAGGCUCUCCAUAAAAACACUGAGGAUAUUCACAGUAUUUUGAUGAAAAAAGAUUUUAAGUCACAAAAUGGCACACAGAGUGAUCCCAUUAUAAAAAUACAAAACCUAUGUUUACAUAGGUGAAGGGUCUGGAAGAGGUUUGCUGGCUGUUAACAGUGCUGACACCUGGAAAGGUCAAGAAAGGUGUGGUUGCAGGAUGCUCUGCAUUAGGUGGGGGGAAUACAGUUUUUAAUUUUGCACAGUUCUCCACUUUCUUCAACAGUAGAAAUAUUACUUUUGUAAUAAAAGUGAGUGACAACAAAAGUUAAGGGGAAGCAUCCAUAAACAAUAGUAAAGAGCUGCCCUGCUUAAGGAGGUGCAUGCAGGAUGGAAAAAUUUCAGAUACCAUACUGCCAUCUUCUGGAACAAACGAGAAUCUACUGGAGCAAGAAAGGAGAAGUAAAAGCCAUUCUAAGGCAAAAUGUCACCACUAACUGCUGUAAAAAAGAUAAGGCAAGUUUCUGAUUUAACCAUGAAUGAAAAGAAACAGUUAAAAACAAGCAAGCAGGAUGAAAUACAGAAAUCAUUAACUUUUUACAAAUUUUUUACAAAUUUUAUGAUACAAAUGAAUAUCCUCAGUGGAUAACAUUACCUCCAAGUUGUUUCGGUUUCUCAGAUUUGUUCCUUUUAGGAAAACAGCCUAUUUCUUAUUUACAGAUAUCAACAAUAUUCACAGCGAAAUACUUUGAAACAAAUAGAACUUGUGAAGUGUUCAUAUUUUUACCUGUAGGUGCUAGAAAAUGAGAACAAUUUCACAAUUUGAAAAAGUCGAGCCAAAAAAACCAAAAUCACAAGCAAAAAAACCCCCCAAGGACCAAAAUGUUUCCUUCAUCCUCGUUAGCACUUUUUGAGAACUAAAACACACAAAAUUCUGAAAAUUCAAAUACAAUUGUAAAAAGGGGAGAAAAUAAUUUAAGUCUUCCUAUUAAACAAAGGAGAACAAAAAAAAGUUUGAAAACAAAACCUUCUAACAUUGCAUGUUUCUGUAAGUUUUUUUUUCCUUUUUAAAUUUCCAAAACCAAAGAGCUCCGUAAGAAUUUUUUUUUUUUUUUUUUUUUUUGGUUUUUUAGUGGUAGACAUUGGUCAACUAUAACAAACUAUAAAUGGGGCGGGGGCAGUCCAUAAAUAAUUUUACGUGGAAACAUAAAAGAAUUUUUGAAACAAUCCACCCUUUCGCAGAAGAAAUUGGGGAUCACUUUGAGUGUUAAUGUAAAAUACAUUAGUCCUUAGCAGCAGGAGUUCCAGACCUAUUGGUGCCAAGAAGGUAACAAAUAGUCUCUCUCCAAGGCGGGGGAAAUGGACGCUCAGCGGGAGCUUUCUUCCCUGUUGUGUUAUUUAUAGAGAGCUCUAUUUGUUAACAUGUUUCUGCUAUCAUGGAGAGGGAGAGUUUAAUGAUUUAAAGGAUUUCAAAGACAAUUGUUUAAUGAUACCGUGAUUUAUGUGCGGUCACAAAUUCCAGAUAGAUAGCCAUUUAGAUUUUCAAACUCUGGUCCCCCAAACAGGGAUAGGAUAUAUUGCUGAAGCUUAACUGAAAAACCAAAACAAGGCAUAGUACUUGGCAUCGUGAAAUUAAAAAGUUAGAAAGGCUGGACAAUGCCAUGUUAAAAAAGAAAUCAGCGGCCUCCCACUGUGCUUCAUGUUAGUAAACCAAUUUUCUAGGGCUCUUUAAGUGAGUUUCUGGAUUCAAAAAAAAUUUUUUUUCCUUUUUCUUAAUGGAGACCCAUGAUCCUAAAUUACCUAUGACUGAUUUGAAUAAUCUGGGACAUGAGUCUUCAACCGGGCUGUUGAUAUUUUCACCAAAAAUCAAUCCUCUACUUCCUAUCUCGCAAAAUAUACAAGAAUCUUGAAGGUCAAAAUGCUUUCAUAUUAUUUAUAAAUUAUAUAUUCAUUC